rnacentral:rRNA from 1 species
AGAGUUUGAUCAUGGCUCAGAACGAACUCAUCGCGGCGUGCCUAACACAUGCAAGUCGAGCGAGAAAGGGGGGGCAACCCCCUGAGUAGAGCGGCGCACGGGUGAGUAACGCGUGUUUUCCCUACCCCCAGGCGGGGGAUAACCACUCGAAAGGGUGGCUAAUACCGCAUGAGACCACGGGAUUUUCGGAUCCUGAGGCCAAAGGCUGCACCGGCUUGCCGGUGUAGUCACCAGGGGAUGGGCCCGCGUCCGAUUAGCUGGUUGGUGGGGUAACGGCUCACCAAGGCUACGAUCGGUAGCUGGUCUGAGAGGAUGAUCAGCCACACUGGAACUGAAACACGGUCCAGACUCCUACGGGAGGCAGCAGUGAGGAAUAUUGCGCAAUGGGGGAAACCCUGACGCAGCAACGCCGCGUGGGUGAAGAAGGCUUCGGGUCGUAAAGCCCUUUCGGACGGGACGAACGCUCCGCGGGGACAGCCGCGGAGUCUGACGGUACCGUAUGAGAUGCACCGGCUACUCCGUGCCAGCAGCCGCGGUA